GUGUGUGUGUUGUGUGUGUGUGUGUGUGUGUGUGUGUGUGUGUGUGUGUGUGUGUGUGUGUGUGUGUGUGUGUGUGUGUGUGUGUGUGUGUGUGUGAAUAAAACCCUUUCUACGUGUAAGAGAAGAGAGUGACCGAUAAAAACACUGCGCUGAGGACCUGACCGGCUAAAGAAGCAGUGGAUUCAUUAAGAUGUUAUGAGUAAGGGGUGUGUGUGCUUGUUUUUGUUUAUUUGUUUUGCCAUGUACACAAAUAUGGUGGAGGCCUUAUGACAUCAGAAGGAUCUGCAGUGAUGUGUGUGUUUUUCCUAUGAUGGGUCACUCGUUAGUCAGGAGAAACAUGACGUGUUUUAUUUUUUAAUUCAUUUUUUUUUAACCAGAUGUUGGGUAACUGGUGUUAGUCAGGAGAAGCGUUUACGGCCAGAGGUUUGUUACUCUGAGGGGAAGAGGAACGUUCAGGCGGACCACGUGAAAAGGGGGCAGCAUCCAUCUACACUUACACGUACGCUUUCAUUUCUUAGGUUUUGUAUAGGAAGGCUGUUUGUGACAUUAACACAAAGAAUAGAUGUGUAGGAAGGCUGUUUGUGAUAUAAACUCGGAGAAAAAAAGUUUGUGUUUGGACGAUUAUUCCUCUGUUGUUACAAUGCUAAUUGGCAUUGUAUUUUAUAUCGUUGGAAAGCCUGUUUAUUUACCUUUACAAAAAUGUACAGCUUGUAAGGAUCAUGCAUUUGUGGGAUGAGCAGCACAGAUGAUUAUGUGGGUAGCGGCCAAGUAAUUGCCAAAAUUCUCUGCCAAUGUUAAAGAGUGUAUUCUCCUGUUGGUAUUCACUCUUGUUUUGAGUUGUUUGGUGGAUUGGAUGAUUGAACUCAUGAUCAGUAACAAGGAACAAAAAAGACAUAUUGGCAAUUUUACACUUUAUUCAUUUAAUACACCGUCAGGAGCCUCAGUAGCGGGUGGAAGAUCCAUACGCUGCCACAACAGCCUGGCACCUCCUCCUCAUGCUGGUCACCAACCUGGUCACAUGUUGCUGUGGGAUGGCACUCCAUUCCUCAACCAGGAGUCGUUGCAGGUCAGCCAUCGUGGUUGUGUUGGUCACUAACACAUACAGGUCAGCCAGUGUGGUUGUGUGUGUGUGUGUAGCCAGUGUGGUUGUGUUGGUCACUAACAUACAGGUCAGCUAGUGUGGUUGUGUUGGUCACUCUAACACGUACAGGUCAGCCAGUGUGGUUGUGUGUGUGUGUGUGUGUGUGUGUGUAGCCAGUGUGGUUGUGUUGGUCACUCUAACACGUACAGGUCAGCCAUCGUGGUUGUGUUGGUCACUAACACAUACAGGUCAGCUAGUGUGUGUGUGUGUGUGCAGCUAGUGUGGUUGUGUGUGUCAGCUAGUGUGUGUGUGUGUGUGUGUGUGUGCAGCCAGUGUGGUUGUGUUGGUCACUCUAACACGUACAGCACGCCCAAGCUGAUCCUACAAGUGUUCAGUUGGGUUGAGGCCAUUCCAUCCGGUCCACUCCCACACCUGGAGGUAGUGUGUGAUGACAUCAUGACCCUGGCACUAUGGGUCCCAGAUUGUGGACAUAUUGGAACACACUCUUUAACAUGGGCAGAGAAUUAUGGCAACCUUUACUUGGCCGCUUCCCACAUAAUCAUCUGUGCUGCUCAUCCCACAAAUGUGUGAUCCUUACAAGUUGG
ensembl:lncRNA